rnacentral:lncRNA from 1 species
AUGGGAAAUGGGAAAUUCCCAAUGAAGGGGAAAUGGGAAAUUCCCAAUGAAGGGGAAAUGGGAAAUUCCCAAUGGGGAACAGGAAAUUCCCAAGGAACUGGAAAUGGGAAAUUCCCAAGGAACGGGAAAUGUGAAAUUCCCAAUGGGGAACAGGAAAUUCCCAGCGGGGAAGGCGGAAGGGGCGAAGGUGAGCGGGGCAGAAUUCCCAAGGGAUUUGGGAUCCCACCUGGGCUGCAGGUGAGGGCAGGAGCUGCUCCCCACCAGGAGCUGGAUCCCACAAAUCACUGGGAUCCAAUGGAUCAUCGGGAUCAAGAUCACCAGGAUCCGGAUCCAGUGGAUCCCACAAAUCACCAGGAUCCGGAUCCAGUGGAUCCCACAAAUCACCAGGAUCCGGAUCCAGUGGAUCCCAUGGAUCUCCGGGAUCAGCUGGACGAGCUGGACGAGCUGGAUGCAGAAAUCCUGGGAAUGGCCAGAGCUGGGUCCAGAACGGGGAAACGCGGCGGGAAGGGGCCGGGCCCCCAAAAAGGUACCGGGAAUUCUCUUGGGAUCGACCCCAAUCCUGUGGGAUCGACCCCAAUCCCAUGGGAUCAAACCCCAUUCCAUGGGAUCAACCCCAUUGCUGAGGGAUCGACCCCAAUCCUGAGGGAUCCACCCCAUUGCUGUGGGAUCGACCCCAUUUUAUGGGAUCAAUCCCAUUCCUUGGGAUCAACCCCAAUCCCACGGGAUCAACCCUGGGAUCAACCCCAAUCCUGUGGGAUCACCCCAUUGCUGUGGGAUCAACCCCAUUCCAUGGAUCGACCCCAGUCCC